UACGUAGGGGGCAAGCGUUGUCCGGAAUCAUUGGGCGUAAAGAGCGCGUAGGCGGCCCAGUAAGUCCGCUCCGAAAGUCAGGGGCUCAACCCCUGAAUGCGGGUGGAUACUGCUGGGCUAGAGUCCGGAAGAGGCGAGUGGAAUUCCUGGUGUAGCGGUGAAAUGCGCAGAUAUCAGGAGGAACACCGAUGGCGAAGGCAGCUCGCUGGGACGGUACUGACGCUGAGGCGCGAAAGCUUGGGUAGCAAACGGG
rnacentral:rRNA from 1 species